GAUGAACGCUGGCGGCGUGCCUAACACAUGCAAGUCGAACGAAGCAUUUUGAAUGAAGUUUUCGGAUGGAUUUUGAGAUGACUGAGUGGCGGACGGGUGAGUAACACGUGGAUAACCUGCCUCACACUGGGGACAACAGUUAGAAAUGACUGCUAAUACCGCAUAAGCGCACAGUACCGCAUGGUACAGUGUGAAAACUCCGGUGGUGUGAGAUGGAUCCGCGUCUGAUUAGCCAGUUGCGGGUAACGGCCACCAAAGCGACGAUCAGUAGCCGACCUGAGAGGGUGACCGGCACAUUGGGACUGAGACACGGCCAAACUCCUACGGGAGGCAGCAGUGGGGAAUAUGCACAAUGGCGAAGCCUGAUGCAGCGACGCCGCGUGAGUGAAGAAGUAUUUCGGUAUGUAAAGCUCAUCAGCAGGGAAG
rnacentral:rRNA from 1 species